UCUCCGUUGGUGAACCAGCGGGGGGAUCAUUACCGAAGUUACCUUCAAAACCCACUGUGUACCUUACCUCUUGCCGCGUUGUCUCGGGGGGGGGCGGUGUGCGUCGCGCGCCCUAGCGGGCCGCGCCGCUCCCGUCCCCGCCGGCAGCGCCAAACUCUAAAUGCACAGCGGACUGUACGUUCUGAUUUACAAAAAAAACAAGUUAAAACUUUCAACAACGGAUCUCUUGGUUCUG
rnacentral:misc_RNA from 1 species